UGCAGUCGAGCGGUAGAGAGAAGCUUGCUUCUCUUGAGAGCGGCGGACGGGUGAGUAAUGCCUAGGAAUCUGCCUAGUGGUGGGGGAUAACGUUCGGAAACGGACGCUAAUACCGCAUACGUCCUACGGGAGAAAGCGGGGGAUCUUCGGACCUCGCGCCAUUAGAUGAGCCUAGGUCGGAUUAGCUAGUUGGUGAGGUAAUGGCUCACCAAGGCGACGAUCCGUAACUGGUCUGAGAGGAUGAUCAGUCACACUGGAACUGAGACACGGUCCAGACUCCUACGGGAGGCAGCAGUGGGGAAUAUUGGACAAUGGGCGAAAGCCUGAUCCAGCCAUGCCGCGUGUGUGAAGAAGGUCUUCGGAUUGUAAAGCACUUUAAGUUGGGAGGAAGGGCAGUAACCUAAUACAUUAUUGUUUUGACGUUACCGACAGAAUAAGCACCGGCUAACUUCGUGCCAGCAGCCGCGGUAAUACGAAGGGUGCAAGCGUUAAUCGGAAUUACUGGGCGUAAAGCGCGCGUAGGUGGUUCAGUAAGUUGGAAGUGAAAUCCCCGGGCUCAACCUGGGAACUGCUUUCAAAACUGCUGAGCCAGAGUACGGUAGAGGGUGGUGGAAUUUCCUGUGUAGCGGUGAAAUGCGUAGAUAUAGGAAGGAACACCAGUGGCGAAGGCGACCACCUGGACUGAUACUGACACUGAGGUGCGAAAGCGUGGGGAGCA
rnacentral:rRNA from 1 species